rnacentral:misc_RNA from 1 species
GAUGAAGAACGCAGCGAAAUGCGAUAAGUAAUGUGAAUUGCAGAAUUCAGUGAAUCAUCGAAUCUUUGAACGCACAUUGCGCCCGCCAGUAUUCUGGCGGGCAUGCCUGUUCGAGCGUCAUUUCAACCAUCAAGCCCCCGGGCUUGUGUUGGGGACCUGCGGCUGCCGCAGGCCCUGAAAAGCAGUGGCGGGCUCGCUGUCACACCGAGCGUAGUAGAUUUUAUCUCGCUCAGGGCGUGCUACGGGUUCCGGCCGUUAAACCACCUUCAUAACCCAAGGUUGACCUCGGAUCAGGUAGGAAGACCCGCUGAACUUAAGCAUAUCAAUAAGCGGAGGA